UCAACAUAUGGUCAUAGCUUUCAAAGGGGAGAGUCAUUGGAUUCACAGCAUGUAGUGUGGGUCUCUGGUCUGCUGUAAGAGGUCAUCACCAAGUCUUGCAGUCUCAGGCCUGCAACCUGCAUUCUGUUGUCUUUGUGGCUGGAGUGGGCAGAAACUAUGGGAAGUGCCUCAGAAAAAGGGGCUGGCAGGCAAAGACAUCCCAGUCUGAGGUCAAGAAAUGGAAGACAAGUUCUUCACACAACAAUCACUGGCAGAGCUGCAGCAGUCCAGGACAAGAACCCUUGAGGUGCUUUCCCAGCAAUCUAGGGGCCAGCAGAACAGGAAAAACCAGGGUUGCUUGGUGUGAGAUGCCAACCAUUUCAUGACCAGAAAAGGGAGAGACAGAACGAAACUCUGCAUUUGCAUGAAGCAUCUAGAGAAAAACCCCACUGGAGGAAAUGAUGCUGCAGCCACCAAAAGCUCUGUCCCAUGGAGAAGGUGUACAAAGAAGCCAGGAUCCUCAGAGCUUGCUGUGCACUCUAGAAUCAGUGGCAGGAGGAAGGUGAGCUUGGAGGACACUGGGUACAUUUGGAGACCUUCAAGGCUACUGCAGGGAUCAAGGAAUUAAAACCUGGCAUGGUGUCAAAGAAGAUGAAAACACCUUCAGGCCUCCAGAAAGGAGAAGGAUGUGGGAGAGUUGUUAAAAGACUGGAGAACAGAGGUGAAAGUGUGUGGAUGGGUUCACCUUUUGAGAAGAUGUGAUCUACAGUGCUUCAGAGGUCUCAGUGACUGAAGAUAGCUGUGCCUUCCAAUUCUCUUCAGCCAGUAGGUUAGAGUCAUGCCAGGACUUCCACAGGAUUUUCAGAGGAUCAGUCUUGGAGCACAGAGGAACUCACAUCUUUUUAAAAUCAUUGAGAACUCAUCUCCUAAAUCUCUCAGGACUCCAGGACCCCGUCUGAAACUUUGGGAUAGCAGGUGCUGUGAAAGGACAGGGGGAUCAUGAACCACUCCAGUUUGUCAUGCCAAGAGGUUUGGUCUUAAGUCCUGACUUUCCACUUCACGAGUACCAGCUGCUUUCCAGGAGGUUACCCUGGGUGGGGAGGGAGGAGGAAGGGGCCAGUGAUGGGAGCUGUGCCUUAGCUAGUUUGUAAAUUAUCUUUGUACAUGCAUGAAAAUUAAGAUAAUUAUAUCUCUUAUAAAAAGAAUCUGUUUGUGUGCUUUUGCUGUUUAUAUGUAUCUAGAAGGAAAUUGCAGGCUACUGCCUGCCAAGUAUAUCCCCAGAAAUAUUUUUGAAACUGUCAUCCGUAGGCAUUGGAUACCAGAGGCUGUUUAAUCUCUCUCCCACUUUCUUUCUCUCUCCAAUCCUCCAUCUCUCACUCUCUGGCCCAGUUUUUGAGCAAAAGGAGUUUGGCUGUUUAUUGCAGUGUAAAGUGCAAAAGGGGAUUUUUGUAAUGUCUAUGCUUAUGCUAUAGACAUCAUCUGACCUUAUUCAUGAUUUGCAUUCAAAAGAUAUGGGGAAGCACAGAAAGAAAGCUAGAGAGGAAUACGUAAGGAAACUGAGUCAGUACCAAUCCCUUACAUCCAUGUCCUGCAGCUUGUAGAGCCUCUAUUCAUUAAAGUAAAUGUACCUUGGAAAGCAAACACUGCCUUCUUCAAUAAACUCUGAUUAGCCAGUUAUACCCCUUAAAAACGCAACUUAGAGCAUAUUAAUUAUAUUUUAAUGUAAUGAAAACAUGAAGUGUGAUUCCAAACUGUAAGCAAGCAUAGAUCAAUUAAUUGCAAGGGUAGAAUAUGGAAACAGAGCAUCUGGCCUGCAGUGUUGGUAUUGUGAUAUUGUGAUUGUUACCAGGAAAUCUCAACAGAGAAAGAAAUAUUAGAAAUAGGGUU